rnacentral:rRNA from 1 species
GAUGAACGCCGGCGGCGUGCUUAACACAUGCAAGUCGAGCGAAGCACUUUGGAAAGAUUCUUCGGAUGAUUUCCUUUGUGACUGAGCGGCGGACGGGUGAGUAACGCGUGGGUAACCUGCCUCAUACAGGGGGAUAACAGUUAGAAAUGACUGCUAAUACCGCAUAAGACCACGGUACCGCAUGGUACAGUGGUAAAAACUCCGGUGGUAUGAGAUGGACCCGCGUCUGAUUAGGUAGUUGGUGGGGUAACGGCCUACCAAGCCGACGAUCAGUAGCCGACCUGAGAGGGUGACCGGCCACAUUGGGACUGAGACACGGCCCAGACUCCUACGGGAGGCAGCAGUGGGGAAUAUUGCACAAUGGAGGAAACUCUGAUGCAGCGACGCCGCGUGAAGGAUGAAGUAUUUCGGUAUGUAAACUUCUAUCAGCAGGGAAG